rnacentral:rRNA from 1 species
UACAGAGGUCUCAAGCGUUGUUCGGAUUCAUUGGGCGUAAAGGGUGCGUAGGCGGCGCGGUAAGUCGGGUGUGAAAUCUUGGAGCUUAACUCCGAAACUGCAUUCGAUACUGCCGUGCUUGAGGACUGGAGAGGAGACUGGAAUUUACGGUGUAGCGGUGAAAUGCGUAGAUAUCGUAAGGAAGACCAGUGGCGAAGGCGGGUCUCGUGGACAGUUCCUGACGCUGAGGCACGAAGGUCAGGGGGAGCAAAACGGGG